AACGAACGUUGGCGGCGCGCCUAACACAUGCAAGUCGCACGAGAAAGGGAGCAAUCCCCGGUACAGUGGCGCACGGGUGAGUAACACGUGGAUAAUCUUCCCUCGGGCGGGGGAGUAACCUUCCGAAAGGAGGGCGUAAUACCGCAUAAGACCACGGCCAGUACGCUGGCUGAGGUCAAAGACAGGCCUCCUUUCAUGAAAGCUUGCACCUGAGGAUGAGUCCGCCGGCCCAUCAGCUAGUUGGUAGUGUUAAAGACUACC
rnacentral:rRNA from 1 species